CUCACCGGGGCAUCGGAGCCCCUCCUCCGAACAUGCCCGAACCACCUCAGCCUCGCUUCCCGCAUCUUCUCGUCCACCGGGGCCACCCCUACCUUCCGUCGAAUAACUUCAUUCUUGAUCUUAUCCAGCCUGGUGUGCCCACACAUCCACCUAAGCAUCCUCAUCUGCGCAACCUUCAUUCUCUGAACAUGCGAGUUCUUCACGGGCCAGCA
rnacentral:lncRNA from 1 species